AAGUAUUUCCAAAGAAUGAUCAUAUAUUACACAAAUAUUCAAUAUGCAUCCAUCCAUUUUUAUAUAUACCACAUCAACUUACAAAAUCCUCCAUGAAAUGAUAAUUUACAAAAUAUAUUGCCAAAAUAUAUCACACAACAAGGUUAGGAACCAAUACAAUCCAAUUUACAACAACAGAACAUAUGAUACUAUUGAGCUUGUUAUUCAGGUUCUUGUCAUCAGCCCUCCUAAUGGUAAGUAUCAUGUCAUGGCGGAUUGUGAUGGCCAGCACCAAGAAGCCUGCUACCCAAUCAUACCUAACAUAUUUACAACAACAUUAGAUAGUAGUAGACAAUAGAAAUAAGAGAAUAAGAACAAACUUCAAAAAUAAAUUAACAGUUGUCCAAAUUUCUUAAAUUUUACUAUGCCUACAUACGAGAAUAACAAAGUAUCUAAUCAAGUGAGGUUGCCUAAAAUUAAUCCAAAUAAAAGUGGGUUAAAUGAAAGUCUAAUCAAGUUGACAUAUAAGUGACAACGUAACAGAACAUACAUCAGAGAACACAAGUACUCAGUAGCAGUUGAGGCCAUAUAAACCCGACGGCAAAAUGGCAUUCAAAUUUUCAUGUGUCAAGAUGUAUACACGUGAAACUAAAUGUUUAUCCGAGGCACUUACACUAGUAAAAAACAACUGCUUGACAAGUUAACUUCAAAUGGCAUGCAAAAUAACUAUAAGGUGCGGCCACUAAUAAAUCUAUAGAACUAAGUGGCAAAUGGUUCUCUUAGGAGAUACUGGAUAGAUGUAUAAACUAUUGCUCUUAAAAACAUGCAUGCUGGGGUUACUUUAAUUCAAGUGCAUGAGAUGAUAAAUUUCAUCAAGAUCCAAGGGGCACAAACAAAUUAGUAAAAAAUCACACCAUGGUGAAAAAUGCCUAACUCAGAACUAAAUCAACUAAAUAGGUGCAGUUCAGUAGCAGUUGAGCUGGGGAAUGUAAAUACCGGAGAAAUCAUAGGAGUGGCAAUAGAGCCAACCCCUGGAUUAUCACAGAGCAGCUCCACCACAGUUAUCACGGCCGCCCUCUCGAGCUCUCUUUUGCGCCAUGCAGCGGCACAGCUGCUAUGGCACCGCCUAGACCUACUUACAUCCUGAAAAACAGAAAUCAUAAUCAAGGAGAUUACAGUGUUAAUUGAUCAUAAAAAAGAUGGGAAAACAUCAGGGAAAAGAUUUAGGAUCAGAGAGUAGACAUCAAUCCUUACUUGUCGGCAAAACUACUGUGGAGGUCGACCUGGCAGGGAGCACAUGAGUUGAAGAAAUAUGUGUCACUGUGUUGGCAACUGCUAGCUUGGUGCGUGCCUCCAGGUUGAGGGAGAGUGAACUUACAUGGCAUUGGUUCUAGUACUAGUAGGC
rnacentral:lncRNA from 1 species